UACGUAGGGGGCAAGCGUUGUCCGGAAUCAUUGGGCGUAAAGCGCGUGUAGGCGGCUCGGUAAGUCCGCUCUGAAAGUCCAGGGCUCAACCCUGGGAUGCGGGUGGAUACUGCCGGGCUCGAGUCCGGAAGAGGCGAGUGGAAUUCCCGGUGUAACGGUGAAAUGCGCAGAUAUCGGGAGGAACACCAAUGGCGAAGGCAGCUCGCUGGGACGUGACUGACGCUGAGACGCGAAAGCGUGGGGAGCAAACAGG
rnacentral:rRNA from 1 species